ensembl:lncRNA
ACAGGCAGGCUGACCGGCCUCAUGCACAACUUGCAAGGUGGGGCGCACCAGGCUCACAGCACAGCCCAUACCCUCAGACCCCUCACACUGGAGUGGGAGCAGAAGCAGAACGCCGGACUUGCAUGAAACAGACCAAGUUCCAAGGCCCCUGGGUCCCAAAGGCUGGGGUAACUGAAGGUUCCCACGCUCAGGCCUCCACUCUUCAAGUCCGCUGCUACUCCACUGAGAUCUGUAAUGAGUCUCCUGCCAUCUACACACAGUGGUGGCUUCUCUUCUCCAAGGCCCCGCCAGGAGCCCUUCAUUCCAACGUAUUCGGGGCUCUCUGUAGGCUGGGCUCAGCCUCCUGCACACACGCCUUGGUUGACAUUAUCCGCAGGAUCUUCUGAGGAACCGUCCAGCCUGGCAACUGCAGAAACUAAAUGGACAAGCUGGGCUUCUGUUUCCGGUAUGGUGGAGUGAACACCUAUUGAACUAACCCUCCCAAAGGCAGUGCUGUAAACUCUGGGUAAAAUAGGAAACAACACUUACCUGAAGCCACCAGAGCGUGAACACAGCAGGCACAUUCUGAAGGUGUGAACACUUGGAAAACGGUACCAGGUGAGUUCCCUGUUUGCACAGCUUCUAGACUAAAGUCAGGUAACAGGCCGUGCCAUCCAGGGCAAAUAAAACUCCAAUAAAAAGCCGUAUGUUUUUCUGGCUGGAAAAGCUAGAAGACAAGUGUGAUGGUUAAUACUGAGUGUCAACUUGAUUGGAUUGAAGGAUGGAAAGUAUUAUUCAUGGGUGUGUCUUUGAGGAUAUUGCCAAAGGGGAUUAACGUUUGAGUCAGUGGACUGGGAGAGGCAAAGCCACCCUCAAUGUGAGUGGGCACCAUCUAAUCAGCUGCCAAUGCGACUAGAAUAAAGCAGGCAGAAGAAGGAGGAAUGAGCAGGUUUGCUGAGUCUUCUGGCCUCCAUCUUUCUCCUAUGCUGGAUGCUUCCUGCCCUCAAACAUCAGACUCCAAGUUCUUUGGCUUUUGGACUCUUGGCCUUUGUGAUUUGCCAGGGGCUCUCAGGCCUUCACGCACAGACUGAAAGCUGCACCAUCGGCUUCCCUACUUUUGAGGGUUUUGGGACUCAGACUGAUCCAGUGCUGGCUUCCUUGCUCCUCAACUUGCAGACAGCCUAUCAUGGAACUUUACCUCGUGAUGGUGUGAGUCAAUUCUCCUUAAUAAACUCCCUUUCCUAUAUACAUCUAUACUAUUCUGUCCCUCUAGAGAACGCUGAUCAUACAGUAAAUUGGUACCAGAAGCGGGGUGAUCAGCCAGCUACUUGGUGGCAGGUUAAUUAUAUUGGAACUCUUCCACCAUGGAAAGGGCUAUGAUUUGUCCUCACUGGUAUAGACACUUACUCCGGAUAUGGGUUUGCCUAUCCUGCAUGCAAUGCUUCUACCAAGACUACCAUCCGUAGACUGACAGAAUGCCUUAUCCAGCGUCAUGGUAUUCCAUACAGCAUUGCCUCUUACCAAGGCACUCACUUUACAGCUAAAGAAGGGCAGCAGUGGACUCAGGCUCAUGGAAUUCACUGAUCUUACCAUGUUCCCCAUCAUCCCGAAGCAGCUGGAUAGGUGGAAUGGCCUUUUGAAGUCACAAUCACAACAGCAACUAGGUGAGAAUACUUUGCAAGACUGGGCAGAGUUCUCUGGAAGGCCAUGGAUGCUCUGAAUCAGCAUCCAGUAUACCGUACUGUUUCUCCCAUAGCCAGGAUUCACAGGACCAGAAAUCAAGGGGUGGAAGUGGAAGUGGCACCACUCACCAUCACUCCUAGUGACCCACUAGCAAACUUUUUGCUAGUUGGACUAACCACAACCUCUUGAAAGUAUGGGAGCAUCCAAGAAAGGAGAGAGCUGCAGAUCCAAAUUCUGUUGAUACUCUUUAUCUGAAUCUCUAGUUGAGCACUGAACCACAUAUAUGGGACAGACUCCAAGCAGCUCGACCUAGAAUAAAACCAUGGAAAU